rnacentral:rRNA from 1 species
GAUGAACGCUGGCGGCGUGCCUAAUACAUGCAAGUCGAGCGAACAGAUGAGGAGCUUGCUCCUCUGACGUUAGCGGCGGACGGGUGAGUAACACGUGGAUAACCUACCUAUAAGACUGGGAUAACUUCGGGAAACCGGAGCUAAUACCGGAUAAUAUAUUGAACCGCAUGGUUCAAUAGUGAAAGACGGUUUUGCUGUCACUUAUAGAUGGAUCCGCGCCGCAUUAGCUAGUUGGUAAGGUAACGGCUUACCAAGGCAACGAUGCGUAGCCGACCUGAGAGGGGGAUCGGCCACACUGGAACUGAGACACGGUCCAGACUCCUACGGGAGGCAGCAGUAGGGAAUCUUCCGCAAUGGGCGAAAGCCUGACGGAGCAACGCCGCGUGAGUGAUGAAGGUCUUCGGAUCGUAAAACUCUGUUAUUAGGGAAGAACAAAUGUGUAAGUAACUAUGCACGUCUUGACGGUACCUAAUCAGAAAGCCACGGCUAACUACGUG